rnacentral:lncRNA from 1 species
UCUAGAAAAAUAUAGUAUUCACUCUAGUACCUCAAAACUGAAAAAUAAUUUAAUACUCUCAGUUUUUGUGUAUUUUGAGUCUUGAGGUUUUAGAUGCAUUCAACAGUGAUGCAGUUCAACAGGUCGUGGACUGCAGCGUUUAAUCAUCUAAUCUAAUAUCUGCUCUGACUGCUUUUGACAUGCAUGAUGUUUCCUCUCUCUCUUUCUGUCCUAUACUUUGUGUUUUGUGGCCGCUAACCAGAAUACACUGGACUGCAUGCAGGCAAAAGUUCGUGAGCUGGAGGAGAAAUGCCGCAGUCAGAGCGAGCAGUUCGGGAUGCUGUCACAGGAACUGGACAAAUUCAGGGUUCAGGCCUCAAAUAUCGACCUGUCGGGCCCCAGCCUGACCCAGCUGACCAAUGGGGUCGGCCUGUCCGAUGUGGCUGCGGCUUUGCGGACGGGCUCCACUCCACACGCAGCUGAACUGUCACGUCCCGAACGCUCACCGACCGUCAAACACAGAGAGCUA